GCGGCAAUAGCUCAGUUGGUAGAGCGGCGGCUUCCCAAGCCGCAGGUCGCGGGUUCGAGCCCCGUUUGCCGCU
rnacentral:tRNA from 1 species